CCGUAACUAUAACGGUCCUAAGGUAGCGAAAUUCCUUGUCGGGUAAGUUCCGACCUGCACGAAAGGCGCAACGACUUGGGCGCUGUCUCGACCAUGGACCCGGUGAAAUUGCACUGGUCGUGAAGAUGCGACUUACCCGCGGAAGGACGGAAAGACCCCGUGAACCUUCACUGCAGCUUGGCAUUGGCCGCUGGUCCCGCGUGUAGAGGAUAGGCAGGAGGCACAGAUCCGGAGGCGCCAGCCCCCGGGGAGCCGCCCUUGGAAUACUGCCCUCGCGCGACCGGCGUCCUAACCCGAGGCCGUCAACCGGCUCGGGGACCGUGCCAGGCGGGCAGUUUGACUGGGGCGGUCGCCUCCUAAAGGGUAACGGAGGCGCGCGAAGGUCCGCUCGGGACGGUCGGCAACCGUCCUUUUGAAUGCAAGAGUACAAGCGGGCUUGACUGCGAGGCCCACAAGCCGAGCAGGUGCGAAAGCAGGCUCUAGUGAUCCGGCGGCCCCGAGUGGGUGGGCCGUCGCUCAACGGAUAAAAGGUACUCCGGGGAUAACAGGCUGAUCUUGCCCAAGAGUCCACAUCGACGGCAAGGUUUGGCACCUCGAUGUCGGCUCAUCGCAUCCUGGGGCUGGAGCAGGUCCCAAGGGUACGGCUGUUCGCCGUUUAAAGCGGUACGCGAGCUGGGUUCAGAACGUCGUGAGACAGUUCGGUCCCUAUCCUCCGUGGGCGCAGGAGAAUCGAUGGAGGCUGCCCCCAGUACGAGAGGACCGGGGUGGACGCACCUCCGGUGAACCGGUUGUCGACCAACGGCACGGCCGGGUAGCCGCGUGCGGCGCGGAUAACCGCUGAAGGCAUCUAAGCGGGAAGCCGUUCCAGGGAUUAGUUCUCCUUCCGGUAAGGGCCCAGGUAGACUACCUGGUCGAUAGACGGCAGGUGCAAGGGCGGCGACGUCCUCAGCCGAGCCGCACUAAUCGCCCGAGCUCUUCCGGAA
rnacentral:rRNA from 1 species